GAGAGUUAAGUUUUAUUUGGGACAAAAUGAAGACUUAAGCCUGGAAGGCAGCACCACAAGAAACCACUUCUAGGAGGGGAGGGUGUUAGCUAAGAUAUACAGGAGUUUUGUAACAGAGGGCAGGUAGUCAGAACAAAAGAGUACUGUUAGUCAAAGAAAACUAGAUAUCUCAAGUUCAAAAAUGUAGUGCUUUUCUGUGUAUGGGAGUAUUGCAAGGGGCUGGGCUCACUGAAAUCCUUCCUUUGAGAAGCAUCUCAGCUCUCUGGAGCAAGUACCGUGUGCUUUUCACAUCCUGAGGGCUCACCAUCACGAAUGACUGCAGUCCGAUGGCUGCGAGAUGGCAGGUAUUCUUUGUUCCUUCCUGAGUUCCCUCAGGGCUCACCAGCUCAGAGGUGGCUGCAAUUGCUGAAGACUGUGACAUCUUUAUUUACUGCUAUAGGAGGCAAUAUUGUAUUUCUCACCAGCAAUUUGUGUUGUCAGGAGUUUUUGUUUUAGCAACUCUUAUCAGUGUGCAGUGAUUUAAUUGUUUUUCAAAUUAACAGAAUUUUAAAUGUAUAUUAUAUAAUGAGUGUAAUUAAAACAAAAUACCAGUGCAUAAAAGGAAAAUAUGUAAAAAUAUGCAAGCAAUUGAAGAAGCUAUAAAAAGAACACCAAAAUUAACUUUUUUUAAUUUAGAAAGCAGAGACAAAAUGAGAAUAGUUUGCAACAGCCCCAGAUUCCUCCCUGAAGGGAACAGCAAGCAGGGUAGUGUAAGGGGAAAUCAUAUACAAAUUUAAAUAACAGCUUUACACUGGGAACUAUGUCGGGUCACUUAUGAUGAAUUAUGAUAAUGUGAGAAAAAAGAAUCUAUGCAUGUAUGUGUAACUGGGUCACCAUGCCGUACAGUAGAAAAUUGACAGAACACUGUAAACAAGCUAUAAUGGAAAAAAAAUUAAAAUGAUUAUAUAUAUAAAAAAAUAAUAAAAUAACAGCUUUAAUUCUCCCUGUUGAAAACAAGGGAAGAGACUUAGCCUCCCCUUCCUUUUCUUAGAGCAUUUUCUUUAGGAAAGUUGCAAAUUUUUUUUUCUCUCUCUCUUUAAAAUGAAUGUAAAUCUUUUUAAACUUUAAAUGGACCCCUUGAAUACUGUAAACCAGCUAUAAUGGAAAAAAAGUAAAAAUCAUUAAAAUAAAUAAGUAAAUAAAUUGACUUCCUGACAGAUUUACGACCCAGGAAUGUCUUUCUUAAGGACCUGGGAGCCAUCCCAUUGAAAUGUAAUCAUCAAGGAAGAUGGUGCCCUAACACCCCUUUUUUGUGGGAAGGUAGGAGCCUUCAGCACAUUCCUUGGGCUCCUCACUCCAAACUGCAAAAUACCUUCCGCCACAAAGAUAAGAGAAUUUUGUUUUUCCUUUGGAUGAAGCAAAUUAGCAAACACAGAUGGCCACUCUAAUUAUCAGGUGAAUCUAGGAUAAAUUAUGCAUGGCAAAUGGUGCUUUCAGCUCCUCUAACUUCAGGGCUAGUUACUAUUUAUCUUGAGAACAUGUAUAUAGUGGGUUAUAUCUGCUUGGCUGCAUAAAUACCUAAGAUUCCUGUCUUUGCAGUCUCUUAGCAGAUUGCCACAUGCUUCACAUUUUGUUUUAAUGCUUACUCAGUGACAAAAUUGUUUUCUUUCUCUUCUACCUUUGUGGAAAGUCUUCUGGGAUGAGAGGAGGUUUUGUUUUUAAUUAUAUUUCCCCCAACAAAAGCAAAUGCCAUGGACUGUACACGCAGGUCAGAAAGAAGAAUUUUCCAGAUUCAGAGCAAGAUGAAGAAAAGACAAGUUUAUGGAGGCAAGGAACACUGUUAACACAGUGGGCUGACUUCCUGAUAAUGAAAGAGAGCCAAUCCUGGAGAUAAAGAAUAGUUUAAGAUGAGAGAUGUGGGAGUUUUCAUUGUGCUUAGCAGGUUAUGAAAGCAACUAGUAUCUAUGAGGAUGUGGAUUCAAUCCCUGGCCUCACUCAGUGGGUUAAGGAUCUGGCAUUGUCGUGAGCUGUGGUGUAGGUCACAGAUGUGGCUCAGAUCCUGUGUUGCUGUGGCUGUGGCACAGGCCAGCAGCUGCAGCUCCAAUUCAACUCCUAGUUUAGGAACUUCCACAUGCUGCAGAUGCAGCCAUAAAAAGAAAAAAAUUUAAAUGUGCUCUCUGUUUACUUGAAACAAAUAGACUGUCAAGAUGGGUUUAUUCAGUUUCAGCACAAAAUUGCAAUUCAGAGCCUGCAGCCAUGGUGAUUCAUGUACAAGUCCGCCCACAGCAAGGGAAGGAGAAUGCUUUUAUAAAGGAGAAAAGGAAGUUGGGAGGGCUAUAGUAAACAAAGGAUCAUGGCUUUUCACAUGGCUUUUCACUGCCAGAAGAAAAGAGGAAACUUUCUUCUACCUGUUGGGCUCUGCAACAAUCAUAGGGCACGAGGGCUCCCCCUCCUGGUCUCCCAAAUCUAUUCAACUGAGUUCUCUAUUAAUUUUUUUUUUAUUUUUUAUUUUUUGGUCUUUUCUAGGGCUGCUUCUGCUGCAUAAGGAGAUUCCCAGCAACAAUAACAACAACGACAAAGACAAAAGACAAAAAAAAAAAAAAGAAAUCCUCUUUAAUCUCAGUGAGACAGUGAGGCUAUGACAAUGGGGCUAGCAUUUACUCCCUACACACACAUAGGUCAGGUCCAAGUACUCCUGGCGGGGCAGCUCAGAAGAGAGUGAACUUUUUUUCUCACCAGCCAGAGUCGUAAGGUCUGGUGUCACAGUUUCACCCAGAGAAGGGUGCCUCUCCUCCUAGCCAUCACCUCAGCUCUAUUCAAAGCAAGCACAGUCAAGAUAUUUGGGCCUCAUUGUAAUGUAUUAGCAUCCUAAAUGACAUACCUACCAGUGCCAUGACAGUUGAUGGUUGCCAUGACAACAACCAGACUAGCCCAUUCAAGGACAGCAGAGGAGUGCAGUAUCUGACCUGGUCCAAACCAAAACCCCUGUUCUCAGAUAACUCAUGAACAUUCCUUCUACUCUUUCCAAUUCCCUCCCUUUUACCUCAACCCUGCUAAAUAUUUAGUGUCACUACCAAAUUGGGUUGGGAAGUUGAUUUGCAAACAAGAUUCCCACGUCUCCAUUCUUUGGCCAUUGAAUAAAGCUUGUGCUGUCCCAGUUUCAAUACUGGCUGCAUGAAUCCAACGGGGAGAAGUCUCAGCCUGGACUAGGACGCUUAUGUGUCCCAUCGACUAAUUCAGUACCAGUCUGUGUGUGUGUAUGGUUUUCUAUAUUUAGGUUUCUGAUAUCCAACUAGAUUUGGACUUUGAAUGGUUAUAAGUGGAAGUUCUCAGGCUAGGGGUCAAAUCAGAGCUGCAGCUGAGAUCUACGCCACAAUCACAGCAACGCAGGAUGUGAGCUGCAUCUGUGACCUAUGUCGAAGCUCGCAGCAACACUGGAUCCUUAACCCACUGUUUUUUAUUACAGGGGGUCUCAGCCAAAAACUGAAAAGGGUAGAGGGAAAAUCCUUUUUCAACCCCAUAGAAUAAUCACAGAUGAGUUAAGUGUGACCCAGACACAAAGCAAGUUCUGAGGCCAGGGACCAAACCCAGGCCACAACAGUGACAAUGAUAGAUCCUUAAGUGCUAGGUCACCAGGGAGCGCCUAUGAUCAUUUUUAACGACCACAUAAUGUUCCAUUAUAUUCUUUAGUCUAUUGCAACCAUGUUUGACCAUCCAUUAAGUUGCUUUUGGUUUUCUGCUACUGCAAACAAUGUUGAGACAAACCUCUCUGUAUAUUUGUUUAAUUAUUUCCAUCAGACAAAAGUCCAAAGAACAGGGUUUCUGAGUCAAAUGGCAGACAUUUAAGACUUCUGAUGCCAAACUACUCUCCAAAAGCAAAAUUCCCAACAAUGGUUCAACAACAUUAAUGCACACUAGCUUCCCCACACCCUCACCAACACUGGUUGGAAGGAAUGGUUUCAAAGAUGGGUGCUGUGUACUGGUGCUCUUUGCCUCUUUCUCCACUGACAGCCUAGAACACAGGUGCUUGAUAAAUCAAUCCAGGCUACAGUCUAGUAGACGCUCUGAUC
rnacentral:lncRNA from 1 species